UACGUAGGGCGCAAGCGUUGUCCGGAAUUAUUGGGCGUAAAGAGCUCGUAGGCGGCUUGUCACGUCGAUUGUGAAAGCCCGAGGCUUAACCUCGGGUCUGCAGUCGAUACGGGCUAGCUAGAGUGUGGUAGGGGAGAUCGGAAUUCCUGGUGUAGCGGUGAAAUGCGUAGAGAUCCGGAAGAACACCGGUGGCGAAGGCGGCCUGCUGGGCUAUGGCUGACACUGAGGCGCGACAGCGUGGGGAGCAAACAGG
rnacentral:rRNA from 1 species